UUACGGGUAUUCUCCUAUUCUACUGUGAACUGAAAACCUUGGCGCCCCCUUUCGUAUCCCACCCACCGGAGAUAAACUCUUUCGAGUUCUGCCGGCCGACGCCAACGGCCAUACCGGCAGGAGAUCUGAAAUCCACCGGAGUGGGAGCCCCCUGACGUCGUUUCAAGCCCUUGACACCUUCGAUAACCCACCGGAGAUUAACUCUUUUGAGUUCCGCCGGUCGACGCCGACGACCAACAGUUUUCAGCUGAUUUUCAUUUGUAACAUUAUACCUAAAACUUGGAAUGAUUAUUGAUUUGUGUAUUUAUUAAUUAGAAGAAAUUAAACAUGAUCAUGAUUAUUGUUUAUUAAUUAGUCGUCU